rnacentral:rRNA from 1 species
UGGGCAACCUGCCCCUCUCUCUGGGAUAACCCCCGGGGAAAACCCGGAGCUAAUACCGGAUACUCCGGCUGGAUCGCAUGGUCCGGCCGGGAAAGGUCCGCCGGAGAGGGAUGGGCCCGCGGCCUAUCAGCUUGUUGGUGGGGUCAUGGCUCACCAAGGCGACGACGGGUAGCUGGUCUGAGAGGAUGGCCAGCCACAUUGGGACUGAGACACGGCCCAGACCUCCUACGGGAGGCA